GGAUAGCUCAGUUGGAUGGAGUGUGGUGCUGAUAAUGCCAAGGUCGCAGGUUCAAUCUCUGUAUGGAACCA